rnacentral:rRNA from 1 species
UGGGGGAUAUUGCACAAUGGGGGAAACCCUGAUGCAGCGACGCCGCGUGAGGGAAGACGGUCCUCUGGAUUGUAAACCUCUGUCUUCGGGGACGAAACGAGACGGUACCCGAGGAGGAAGCCACGGCUAACUACGUGCCAGCAGCCGCGGUAAUACGUAGGUGGCAAGCGUUGUCCGGAAUUACUGGGUGUAAAGGGAGCGUAGGCGGGCAGGCAAGUCAGGCGUGAAAGAUAUCGGCUCAACCGGUAGCUGCGCUUGAAACUGCAGGUCUUGAGUGAAGUAGAGGUUGGCGGAAUUCCUAGUGUAG